rnacentral:rRNA from 1 species
GAUGAACGCUGGCGGCGUGCCUAAUACAUGCAAGUCGAGCGAACAGACGAGGAGCUUGCUCCUCUGACGUUAGCGGCGGACGGGUGAGUAACACGUGGAUAACCUACCUAUAAGACUGGGAUAACUUCGGGAAACCGGAGCUAAUACCGGAUAAUAUAUUGAACCGCAUGGUUCAAUAGUGAAAGACGGUUUUGCUGUCACUUAUAGAUGGAUCCGCGCCGCAUUAGCUAGUUGGUAAGGUAACGGCUUACCAAGGCAACGAUGCGUAGCCGACCUGAGAGAGUGAUCGGCCACACUGGAACUGAGAAACGGUCAAGACUCCUACGGGAGGCAGCAGUAGGGAAUCUUCCGCAAUGGGCGAAAGCCUGACGGAGCAACGCCGCGUGAGUGAUGAAGGUCUUCGGAUCGUAAAACUCUGUUAUUAGGGAAGAACAAAUGUGUAAGUAACUAUGCACGUCUUGACGGUACCUAAUCAGAAAGCCACGGCUAACUACGUG